UACAGAGGUCUCAAGCGUUGUUCGGAUUCAUUGGGCGUAAAGGGUGCGUAGGCGGCGCGGUAAGUCGGGUGUGAAAUCUCGGAGCUUAACUCCGAAACUGCAUUCGAUACUGCCGUGCUUGAGGACUGGAGAGGAGACUGGAAUUUACGGUGUAGCGGUGAAAUGCGUAGAUAUCGUAAGGAAGACCAGUGGCGAAGGCGGGUCUCGUGGGACAGUUCCUGACGCUGAGGCACGAAGGCCAGGGGGAGCAAACGGG
rnacentral:rRNA from 1 species